AGGGGACGUGGCUGAAGUCAGUCGGGCCGCCCGCUUGCUGCACGGCAGCCGUGGGACUGGCACAGGCUCCUCGGCAGCAUUAUGGGCAGCUGGUAGAGCGGCCACUUCUGAGAGCCGGAUGGGCCUUCCGAGGUCGGGCCGUGCCCCGCUGGGCAGCGCAGAGGGGGUGUGUAGGGCACGCGACUUGGAGCCAGGUCCAGACCCAUCCUGGCUCCUCUCAGGGCUCCUUCCCCUGCCCCCAUUCCACCCCAGCCCUGCUGGCUGUCCCGCAGGACCCAGCGCCGCGGUAGCCUUCUCUGAACUGCGGCUCAGGCGGAGGUGUCACUCCUGCCUCCAGCCCAGGAGGGCAGGUCAGGUUAUGCAACGCGUGCCGCGCGAUCUCCCCCCACCUCCAACCCCCUUUUCUCCCGGGUCCACACCGCAGUUCCCACCGCUCCGGGUGUCCUCCCCAGUGCGCCGCGAUUUUUGUGUCCAAGCCCCAGAGUCCCUCUGAGACCAACCCCCAGCCAGCACAGACUUCCUGCCUUCCCAGCUCGGGGGAUGUGGUCUCAUUAGGUUGCCCAAGCUGGACUUGUACUCUUGGCCUCAAGAGGUCCUUCCAUCUCAGUCUCCCAAGUAGCUGGGACUACAAGCAUGCACCACUACACUCAGCCAAAUACUUUCAAUAAUUUGCCAGCUGACAACUUGAUUGGGUUCUCCUUCAGGUUUGGAAGCGCCCUCGAGAAGUGUCUAAAGGAGACAGUUGAUAGCCAAACAACAGUUUUGGAUUCACUGACUGAUUAUGAAAGAAGCAGUAGACUGGUAUCAAGAAUCAGUCAGGCAAGGAGGCCCUCACCAGACGCCAGUGCCAUGUUCUUGGACUUCUCAGCCUCCAUAUUCAUGAACUAAGGUUUUUGGAAUCCUUAGGCUUCCACGUGUGGAAAGCCUGAGCUAACCUACUGGAGGAUGAGCCAUCACCUGGAGCAGAUUCAGGCCAUCCUAGUUGAAGCCUCCCUAGGCCAAGCAACCGUCCAACUACCAGACAUUGACCAUUCAGCCUUGAACAUUCAGCACAAAGACAAAACAGACCAGACCAGAAGAGUCCCACAGAAUAGGGGAAACUAUUCAGAGAAAACUUAAGCCACUAAGUUUUAUGGUGUUUUGUUCUGUAGCAGAAGCAUAGGCAUACUGACAAUACAAACCGAAAUCCUUCUAACGUAGUGGACCUUUUCAGGCCAGCAUUUUUUCCUUGAAAACCUGGAGCAUGUAUCCAUCUUAUAGCAGAGAUCACUUUCACAAUGUUUGGGCUCUUGAUUUGAAUUGAUGAUGUAAUGAGCCCUCUAUCCAGAUUGUAACUAAUUACUCUGCGAAUUGACUGGAUUCCACACCCUUCUAAUAUUUUACUUUUCCUCUUUUAUCAACUCUCAUUCUUGCUGCCAUGAUCAAUGGACCAACUAUGCUUAUAACCACAAAUUUUGAUAUGCUUAAACAAAUGAACAAAUAUAUUUAAUAAUUUCUUUUUUUUUUUUGAAAUAGUAUCUUGCUCUGUCACCCAGGCUGCAGUGCAGCAGCGUGAUCUCAGCUCACUAUAACCUCCACCUCCCGGGUUCAAGUGAUUCUCCUGCCUCAGCCUCCCAAGUAGCUGGGACUACAGGCGCCCACCACCAUACCUGGCUAAUUUUUUGUAUUUUUAGUAGAGACAGGGUUUAUCCAUGUUGGCCAGGCUGGUCUCAAACUCCUGACCUCAAGUGAUCCUCCUGCCUCGGCCUCCCAAAGUGCUGGGAUUACAGGUGUGAGCCACCAUGCCCAGCCAAUAAUUUCCUGAUAUAAUAAAAAUGCCAAUACUAUACAAUUAAAUAGUAAAGUGAUAAAAAAUAGGAUAACAUGAUAACCACUAAUUAAUAUAUACUACAUAAUCAUC
rnacentral:lncRNA from 1 species